ACAUACCAUGUAUCAAUUUACCUGACUGUUGAUGGAAGAGCUACACAUGUCGCCUUGGCAUGGUCAGUCCCGUCACUGCUGUAAUGUUGUGGCAUAGAUACUGGCUCAGUCGGUGUAUGAAGGACUCAGGAAGAGGAGCACUCUAAAAUCAUAAAUCGUAGUUUUACUCAAGCUGUGAAAUGUGAACUCUGAACCUCUUCAUCUUCAUGCAUGGUCAAGGAGUGACAAUCGUUCCACAAGUGCACCAUUACAGGCCUUUGUAGCUGCAGAUUUUAGGCACCUUUACCAACUGGGGUCUUGUCGAUUCUAUUGGCUCGCCCAAUGAGGAGUGAGGAGCAAUCUUUGAUGAUUUUGUUAUGAUGCAACUUUAUUCAAAUAUGAUUUUAUUUGGUCGAAUUGCAACUCGACCGAAAAUUCCAUGAUGCAAUGCAAAUUGAAUAUUUUGAGAGAUUUGUGUAGAUUAGUAUAAAUAUUGUAAACUUUACUUGCAGUAUGUAAGAUUUUAGUCAAUCUAUCAGUAUUUUUGUUUGGAGAUUUUACAAAGGUUGUAACUUUCUGUCUAUGAUAUUGGAAUUUUUCGUUCA